GACGAACGCUGGCGGCGUGCUUAACACAUGCAAGUCGUACGGUAAGGCCCUUUCGGGGGUACACGAGUGGCGAACGGGUGAGUAACACGUGAGUAACCUGCCCACAACUUUGGGAUAACGCUAGGAAACUGGUGCUAAUACUGGAUAUGUGCUCCUGCUGCAUGGUGGGGGUUGGAAAGCUCCGGCGGUUGUGGAUGGACUCGCGGCCUAUCAGCUUGUUGGUGGGGUAGUGGCCUACCAAGGCGGCGACGGGUAGCCGGCCUGAGAGGGUGACCGGCCACAUUGGGACUGAGAGGCGGCCCAGACUCCGACGGGAGGAAGCAGGGGGGAAUAUUGCACAAUGGGCGCAGGCCUGAUGCAGCAGCGCCGCGGGCGGGAUGACGGCCUUCGGGUUGUAAACCGCUUUCAGCAGGGACGAAGCUUUUUGUGACGGUACCUGCAGAAGAAGCACCGGCUAACUACGUG
rnacentral:rRNA from 1 species